UCCUCGUUAGUAUAGUGGACAGUAUCUCCGCCUGUCACGCGGAAAACCGGGGUUUGAUUCCCCGAUGGGGAG